UCAUUCUCUCUUGAAUAAUUGACAGAGCCUCUAGCCUGAUGGUCAGAACACUGGGGUUUUCAUUUUGGAUCCUGCCAAUUACUGAAUGUGUCCCAUGACCUUUCCUAAGCCUCUGGGUCCCUCUGUGGUAUCAUCAGGGUGGAACAAGUAGCUUCUCUCUUCUGGUUCUAUGGGGAGGUAUACUUCUGGUCUGGUUCUCUGGAGGGCUGUGCUGGUUUGAGAAGAUGCAGUUAAUCUUUCCCCUUCUCUACCAUAGUGAAGGAAGAAAAUAUGCAGUUCUAGCCAUGGAGAUGGAGGGUGGACAGCUCCUCAAAAUUGCCAGAAGCAUCUAGUCAAACCCCAA
rnacentral:lncRNA from 1 species